UCGCGUGUCUCAGAGUUUGAUCCUGGCUCGGGACAAACGCUGGCGGCGUGCAUAACACAUGCAAGUCGACUCGAGCCUUCGGACUUGAGUGGCGCACGGGUGAGUAACGCGUAAAGAACUUGCCUCUUAGACCGGGACAACAUCUGGAAACGGAUGCUAAUACCGGAUAUUAUGGUUUUUUCGCAUGGAGGAAUCAUGAAAGCUAGAUGCGCUAAGAGAGAGCUUUGCGUCCCAUUAGCUAGUUGGUGAGGUAACGGCCCACCAAGGCAAUGAUGGGUAGCCGGCCUGAGAGGGUGAACGGCCACAAGGGGACUGAGACACGGCCCUU
rnacentral:rRNA from 1 species